rnacentral:rRNA from 1 species
UACGGAGGGGGUUAGCGUUGUUCGGAAUGACUGGGCGUAAAGCGCGCGUAGGCGGGCUGGAAAGUUGGGGGUGAAAUCCCGGGGCUCAACCCCGGAAUGGCCUUCAAGACUCCCAGCCUAGAGUUCGAGAGAGGUGAGUGGAAUUCCGAGUGUAGAGGUGAAAUUCGUAGAUAUUCGGAGGAACACCAGUGGCGAAGGCGGCUCACUGGCUCGACACUGACGCUGGGGUGCGAAAGCGUGGGGAGCAAACAGGG